UGCGUAGGCGGGAUAAUAAGUCAGUGGUGAAAUCUUGCAGCUUAACUGUAAAAUUGCCAUUGAUACUGUUGUUCUUGAGUAUAGUUGAGGUGGGCGGAAUGUGUCAUGUAGCGGUGAAAUGCAUAGAUAUGACACAGAACACCGAUUGCGAAGGCAGCUCACUAAACUAUUACUGACGCUGAGGCACGAAAGCGUGGGGAGCGAACAGGAUUAGAUACCCUGGUAGUCC
rnacentral:rRNA from 1 species